CCUACGGGUGGCAGCAGUGAGGAAUAUUGGUCAAUGGCCGGAAGGCUGAACCAGCCAAGCCGCGUGAAGGACGAAGGUGCCAAGCAUUGUAAACUUCUUUUGUCAAGGGACAAAAUCAGGCUCGAGAGCCUGACCGAGGGUACUUGAAGAAAAAGCAUCGGCUAACUCCGUGCCAGCAGCCGCGGUAAUACGGAGGAUGCGAGCGUUAUCCGGCGUUAUUGGGUUUAAAGGGUGCGUAGGCGGACUGUUAAGUCAGCGGUAAAAGCCCGGGGCUCAACCCCGGCCUGCCGUCGGAACUGGGGGCCUUGAGUGGGCGAGAAGUAUGCGGAAUGCGUGGUGUAGCGGUGAAAUGCAUAGAUAUCGCGCAGAACCCCGAUUGCGAAGGCAGCAUACCGGCGCCCUACUGACGCUGAGGCACGAAAGUGCGGGGAUCGAACAGGAUUAGAUACCCUGGUAGUC
rnacentral:rRNA from 1 species